GAAAAUAUUGCUGUGGCUUUAAUCACUGCAAGCUUAGCUCUGCAAGCAGAGAGCUUGCAUGGCUUUUUCCAGGGAUUUAUUAAAGCAGAUCUGUGUGUUUCUGUGUGAGUUGUAUUGCAAACAUGAGUGGCAUUCUUUUCCCCAGUAUCUCCUUUUCACUACCUGACCAUGAUUUAAUCUCUGAUAUAUCAAUUCUCAAAAAACCCACAAGGAACUCACCUCUCCCCAUGGUACUUCUGCACACACCUUGUUGCUAAGAACUGUGUCACAAUGUAUGAGUCAGCUACCUUGGGAGUCUUGCAUACACUUAUGUGACAGAGUCUGGAGGAGCUGAGUGACUGGACAUUGCACGAACUUCUCCCCCACGAACUGAUUGCAACACAAGGCCAUUUAUAGCAGGCUCCUGCUGUACUUCUGGGCUGCCUGCAUUCCCUAGGGAAUGCUAGCAUGUACACCACUUCUUGACUGGUUUCCAGGAGGCUUAUGAGGUGCUUACAUGACUUUUCACUUUUCUCUGUGCCUAUGGGGAGGGAUAAAGGCCGUCACUUUCUCCCCUGGCUGUCCUGCUUGACACCAAGGUGAGUGAUUCCCAUCUCUGUUUCAGAGGUCAGCUACCCAUUUGCAAAACCUGCAGGGUCCAACUCUCUUUUCCUUUCACAAACGAACAAAUCCCCAGUAUUUCUUGGAGCAGCUCUGAGUCAGGUUUGGGUAGGUGCCACAAACCCGUCACAAGGAGCCAGGCAGCCAAGUAGGCAAAAGGCACUGCAGACACAUUCAGCUGUAUCCUUCAGGAGCUCUUUCAGAUGUAAUUCCUCUUUUGUUCAGCCUGGAGCAGAUGGUGAAUCAGAGCACAUUUGGGCAGGUGGAAAAUCUUCCAGUAGCAAUGUCUGGAGCUCUGAACUUGGCUCCUUGCUUGUCGUCCCCCCUGCCUGGCUGUGCUGGCCCAGGGUGCUGUGUCUGCUCAGAUGGCUCCAGACAGAGAAGAGGCUGGGGAGGAAAGGUGGCAGAUGGCAGCUGAAGCUGGAUCAAAGCAGGAGGCCUCACCUCCAUACAACAAGGACUGCUUCAAAAGCAAUUUGCCAACCUCGGAGCCACCUUGUUAGAUGA
rnacentral:lncRNA from 1 species